GGCUGCUAGACCAACUGCUCUGGUUGAGACCGAUAGGUCCCCAUAGAAGCGCAUCUCAAUAGUAUAGAGUACUACCGCUGUCUAUAGGAAUAAAGGUCCUACAUGAGUUGAAUCCAAAUCACUAAUUUACAAAACUAAAUAAUGUUGCAAUUAAGUAACCACAGGCUGUUGCAAUCUAGAUAGACAGCAAUAAGUGACAAUGUUGCAACUCAGUGAGCA